GUUGCAAGCUCUGAAUUUUAUCUGCUGGAAGGAAGGGUAGUGCGCAAAAUUUGGAUUUAGAUGUACAUUUUGCACAUAAAAAUUUGGCUCAUCCGUAUUUAAAUUUCCAGGUAAAACGUGUGUCUUGUGAGAGCAGAAUGGUUAAAAUGUGAUUUGCCAGGCUUGGUUUGUGCAUAUAUGCACAAUCUUGGUAAGGUGCAUCAUUACCUCAUUUCACCCAAGUUAACGAAUGUACAAAGUAUAACCCCUGUAAGAACAUCUGUCUUAGUUGAGAAAUAUUUACCGUCUGACUCAUUCAAAGCUUUUGUUGCCAUCAGCUGCAGCAAAACAAUCAAAAGUGCAAUGAUUUCUUUAUUACAACAACCUGAUCUCAUUAUGCUUAUUUGUACUAGAAUCAGAGGCAGAAAAAUGCAUUAAUGGAAGAAUCCUAUCCUCAAUUAUACAAUUACUGUAAAGAAAGAGUUGUAAUUUCAGCUGCUGGGCCUGAGGUGGGGGCUUCCAGGUGGUGUCAGAAGUGGUCACCACAAUGUUUUACUACAUCUGGAAAUUUUGAAGACGUGUUGAGAGAUGAAAUCUCAAACAUUUGUUGUAAGGUUUUGGGGAUCUUUUAAUCUAAUUUUGGAAUUCAAUUGAAUUUAUAUUUUUAGGGUACAGUAAAGUGUAUUACUGGUUUUAUUAUAUAAAGAAAGGGCAUAUUGUAAACGUAGAAUGCGAAAGAAGAAGGGAGAGCAAAGAAAAUUCUUGACUGAUAUGCACUAUAAGAAACCUGUUGGGUUGGCCUUUGUGCUGUGUGUAAAUUAGGGUUGUAUUUGUCUCCUUUGUGCAUAUAUUCCUUUCUUCAUUGCUUUCAGGUUUUUGUUGGGUGAAAGCCUGAUGAUCCCGUCAUCCCAGGAAUAUUAUGAAAGAAAAACUUAGAAUUAAUUAAAGGUAUAAUCGGAAGAAUGAAACUAACUGAAUUAAUGUGAAAGCAGAAAAUGUGAAGUGUUGCAUCUCGUGGGGAAUGAAAAGAGACAGUUCUGAGUGAAAAAGCAGUGCAGACGGAUGAUCAUCAGGCAGGCGUUACUCAACGCUUUUGGGGAACUGGCAAGUCAUCAAAAGAAAACAUAACUGGCAUUCACUCUAACAGAGAAUCAGAGUCAAACGUUUCAGAUGGGGAGGAUCUGUUUAAUGUGUCAUCUUCACUCCUCAAGCAUAAACCUGCCGUUGAGUGUGACAAAGAACUGCAGCUUAUUAACCAGUGGUACAGACAGCAUCAAAAUUUUGUUUCAGGUAUUUAUGAACCGCAGCCUACCAGGUUAGUGCCAAGUUCCUUCUGUUCAGAAGUUGUUUGGUGAAGGAAUAAACGUGGUUUCCUUUUCAAGCCAUUAAGGAGAUUAAUUUAUUCUUCAUUAAUCUGAAAGGGGUUCGCGUCACUGCAAGUUUUAUUGCUAAGCGCUUGCGUGAAAGAAAUACUAAGUCUGAAGAAUUUCCUUCAACAUUCUGUCUCACAAAUGAAUAGUAUCUUUAUUUAAAUGAGCAGCAGUGCUUUUAUUAUAGUACGAAGUGCAGCAUAAGAAGGUAUUGUCUGAAGGAAAACUUCCCCUGAGUCUUUAUUAAUGAUGCUGAUUACACUGUCAUCAAAUAGGCAUAUGAGAUUUUAGCCCCCUCUCAGUAACUUAGGCCCAGUUGAGAUAUAUACUUAUUAAAACAGAGGUAAGAAGACUCAAACCCGUAUCUGUCCAUCUGCCAAACUGUGCAACAAUUUGGCAGGCAGAGCUGCACCUAUCUGAAGUCACGGUGUUCUUUAAUCACGUCUUAUGAUUAGAGCAGAUAAUUUUCCAGUAUGUUCUCACGGCUUGUCUUUUUCUCAUCUUCAUAGCACAUUUUACCUGGAUAUUUUCAGCGGUGAUCCUGCACACAGGCAGCAAGCUAAGUGCAAAUGGUUGAGGUCUUUCCAGAAACUACACCAGAUAUUUCAAGAGUAUGCUCCAGCCUCCACUUGCUCUCAGGGAGGAAGCAUCCACUGAGCUGCUUGAGACAGUCUUGCAGCAAGAGGUUGAUCAAGGAUUUAAGAUUCAGGGCUCUCCAGAAGAUCACUGUUACUGCUUCAAGAGGAAGACCUGUGACUUAGAAUACAACCUGUCAAGCAAGAGGCUUCAGAAUGUUUUGACGUCCACCUUGUGAAAACAGAGGUUAAUGAAAGGAAGUACGAAGCACAUCAGAACGUCAUAGAAAGCAUCCAUGCACAACUAUGCCCACCAUCACUUUCCUUUGCUCACCUCCCCCCCGGAUCCUGGAGAUUUCUUUUCAUCAUGUUCUAGAGCUUUAAACAGAGGACAUGAAGAAUGCUGGUCCCUCUGGACAAAUGAGCUUCUUCCCAGAUGUUUCCUUUUGUGCUUGGAACAAGUCAUCCACCGAGAAAUAAGCAGAUGUUGAGACAUGGAGAUUAGCAGCUGAAAGGUGGGUUUUGAUCUGAGGGACUCAUGCCAGUUGCUGCAUGAAAUACACAUUUCUUCAGCAGGAUACUCCUAUACCCAGGGAUUGCUCCAUACUUAUAUCACGAAAUUUAGUGAAAGAUUAUAUUCUAUGUGCUUACAGAGGAGUAGGAAGUAUUUUUCACCAGUGAGAGUUUAGGAUUAAAAAAUUCCUCUUCAUAACUCAACUGAAUAUCAGCCUUCCAUCAUUAUAUUUUUGUGAAAGUCAGGUCUGCUAAUAAUUUAUGGAAUUUCUGCUAGUGCAGUGCAGGAGCGUUCUCUCAGCUGGCGUCCUACACCCUGUAUCAGCCGGGAGUUAAUUUUUCAUCUUUGCUCUGUGAAUAGAAGGGAAGCCGUGGUGUUCAGUGGAGUUGUGGUUGUUAAGCUGAAAUGCCAAGACUCUGUGGCCGCUGUUCAGGGAGAAGCUGUCUAAUGACUGCUUCCUUGUGAUCUUUAGCUGCUUCAUUAAUCAUCUGGGCUAUCAUCUCGUGGCAUUCAGCCGUGUUCCAGACACUAAUACCACUGAGAUAAUACUCUGGAACCUGAAGACCGCAGGCGUUUGGCCAAAUUACCUUCAGUUUGUCUUGGAGAACUUUGGACUCCAUGGGAAAGGUGCGAGGAAAUUAAGACAGGAGAAGAAGGUAUAACAAGAAAUGGGAAAAAUGCAACUUGUUAGUGAAAAACGGAAUGCUGUCGAUCAGUACGUGCUUAGUGGAGAUGAAAAGACCACUGCCUUGACCUACACUGGCCACUACCUGGGGCUUCCCAGCCUACACUGAAGAAGAGAAAAUCAACUAUAUCAUAGUGUGAAUAGAAACCAGAACGGAUAAGAGUCUGGGAACCACCUGAACACCAGCAUAACAUUAUUCCAGGUUAUGAAGGCGUACAUCAUCCUGCGAUCAGCAAACUCCAGCUGCUGCAGGAGAGGGGAAAAGGAGUCCUACUUGCAGGUCUGUAAAACUGAUUAUGAUACUGGUAAUGCUUCUCCAGUUCCGUUUCUCAUCCUUCUCCAGCAAUAGAUGGCAUGUUAUUAUUAAACAUUUAGAAGGCAAUAACGUAGGUAUAUAGCGGGCUGCAACUCUGAUAUGGUUUUGAUAUUAUCUUGGUUUUAUUUUUAUUUGAGCAAUGAUGGAUACUUUCCCCUUUUAAAUGGAUACUGAGGACUUAAACUUCAAUAUCUGAUGAGGUCAAAAGGAGCCUCGGAAUAAUGCUCUGUCUGCCCAGCAGCAGCUGACAGACUAUGGAUCAUGCAGCCCCCCUGUUUGUCCCUGCACUGGAGAGCGGGAUCAGUGAUCCCCAGGAGGCAUCUCUCGGGCACUGGGCUAUUUCAGUGGCUCCAAUAAAGUGUUCCUCAGACAACAAUUAAAAGCAUUCUUCAAGGCCUGAACAGCACAUAGUCCAGAGAGGACAAAGUCAAAAAUAGUCAAGGAACAAGAAAGCGGAACUAAGGAAAUAACAGUACCAGAUAACCAACACGCAAAUAGCAGAAAACUGAGGUUUGUUGUUGUUUGUUGGUUUUGGUUUUUUUAGCCACAGGUUCCCUUUACUCUAGACUUUUAAUGUCCAUUUAUAUUCAUUUCCACCACUCAGACUAAUAACCCAUUCGUUGUUAUCCUCAAACAGCAAGAAAGCAGCAUCUCCUUACAAGCCUGAAAAGGACAAGUAGCUUCUGUGGCAGAGUAAGAAUGCUGGGGCCCCUGUGGGUAAGUGAAUUAAUUGCAAAACCUCUCCCCAGCUCCCUCCCCUUUCCAUAAAAAAAAUUAAUAUAAUAAAGAAACCAAUAUUGUUCCUCCACAGCCAACAAACACAGCUACUGUGGUAACCUCACAUAGUACCUGCCCGGGCUGCUGUCUCACAGAUGAUCCUUGCUGUAUUUCUCACUGGAACGUUACAGUUGCAAGUAAAUUGCAGUCUUUUCCCCAAAAGUGUGAAAAGAAUUUACGCACCUAAAGCUUGUCAGAUUUUUAAAUUCGUGCUGCGUAUUAUGUAGCACCCAGUUUGCCUCCCACAAAAAUCUCUGCCUCAACUGAGACCAUGCGGGGCAAAAAUGAAGUUUGGGGUGGUAUCUAUAAGCCUACCAUUUCCUAGCCUGACUGGUGACCUAAAUAAAACUUUCAGUAUUAGGUUUUUCCAAGAUGUAAUUUAUACUACGGCUGUCAGGAGUUAAGAUAGCAGUUGCCAUGGAGCUUUAAUCUUUUUUUAGGCUUUAGUCAAAGGAAGCUGGAAAUCUGUAUGCUGGGUAGAACCCUGCUCAACAGAAUUUUAUUUAAAUUGGGACAGGAUUUUAUCCUAAUUUCUCUGCUGAAAGUUAUUCUCAAAGGUUCUAGAAUUCUUGUUAUCUUAUUCUGUUUUUCAGCAGGAGAUGAAAGUUUCCUUUUAGGCUUCUUAAAGCACACUACACGUUCAACCACAGAAGUACCCGAGUUGCUUCCCCCUCACUCCUCCAACCAUAAACUGUAACUUUCUACUACUCUUAGUGUGCGCAGCUAAUCACUGUAGUGCGAUCCAUUCGCCUCUUUCACCACUUUCAGUGGAGGUACUCCCUAAGUACGCAGAAGCAAAACUUUGGGGAGGAUUUUAUUUUCUGCGUGCCCACUAAUCCCUGCGCUGGAAAAGAGACCUUUGGAACAGGAGAAGUAACUACAGUUGGAAUCCGUAGGUAUGCUACUUAGAACUUCCCUGAUAUAUAUUUAAGGAAAAAAGAAGCGUGCAAUGUGUGAAGUGCAUCUCCAAGAAGUACGAAAUUGGCCAUGCUAUAGUCAGUACUCUUCUGCUAGAACACGACUGCAGCAGAACAGCAACGCGGUCCAGUGUAAUACCUGCAGCUAACACAUUGCUGACUUACUUAAAACUGAACUUGCAUCGGAAACCAAAAGAAUGCAGAAAUUGGUGGAAAAAAAAUAAUGCAGAAUUUGUCAAAAUAAGCUUUUAGAUCUCCUACCCUAGCCCAAAAAAAAAAUUAGAAAGGAUUCAGGUGCAAUAUGAGCUUGAACUGAAGAAGAUACUUGGAUUCAAAGGCAAAUGACAGCUUAAUGAAAAAUUUGCCAGAAUUUUCACGAAAUAGAAGUGUUUCCUGUCCAGCUGUAGUGGAAAUCCAUAAUCCUCAAGCUGUUUCAAAGACUGCAGGGUAAUGGGAGAAUUGGCACAAAAGAGAAGAUUUCAAGCUUUUUCAAUUCUUUCAUGGCAUGCAUUACAAAAGAAGCAUGAUAAUAGUAAAAAAUAAACAUCUUUUUCCUUUCAGGGUAUGUAAGUCUGUGGGACUUGAGCAGUUGCACAGUAACAUCUGGGUUUACCACUGAGAGCAAGAUGUCUUACCUAACCAGCACUGGACAGAAAAACAAUUCUUGUGGGUUUGAGUGACAGCCCUGCUCAUCAUCUUAAGAGGAUCCGAUGCAAAACCAAUUGUCCAUUCCACUGAAAAGAAAGACUUCUUUGGAGAAGUAUCCCCUAGCAGCCAGGAAGAACCUGGAGAAAACUAGACUGUCCGAUGAUUAAAGACACAAGGAACAUCUCGGAUCUCUUAAAGAGUGCUAUUCAUAGAAUGGUUUGGGUUGGAAAGGACCUUAAUGAUCAUCUAGUUCCAACCCCCCUGCCAUGGGGGAUGGUGUUGCUGUUGUUUACCACAGGUACGCACCUCCCACUAGAAUACGUAAUUAUUCACUGUACCCAAGAAAAGCUAUGCACUGUGGAUAGGAUUCAGAAAGCCAUAACGGUCAAGGAAACUGCCUGAAAUAGCUCAAAAGAACUUUUGAGAGGCGAGGUAAAUAAGAUAAGUGCCUACCUUCAAGAACAGAUGCUUUACUCUGAAUUGCAGGGAGAUAGACAUCUCCGUUCAAGGUUUUCAACCAUUCUUGAGCUAGGCUCCUAUAGGAAACUCCCACAAAACAGCAAGCACUAUUCAUAGAAUGGUUUGGAUUGGAAGGGACCUUAAAGACCAUCCCGUUCCACCCCCCUGCCCUGGGCAGGGACACCUCCCACCAGCCCAGGUUGCUCCAAGCCCCGUCCAGCCUGGCCUUGAACCCCUCCAGGGAUGGGGCAGCCACAGCUUCUCUGGGCAACCUGGGCCAGGGGCUCACCACCCUCACAGCAAAGAAUUUCUCCCUCAGAUCUCAUCUAAAUCUCCCCUCUUUCAGUUUAAAACUGUUCUCUCUCGUCCUGUGGCUCCCCUCCCUGAUCCAGAGUCCCUCCCCAGCUUUCCUGGAGCCCCUUUAGGGACUGGAAGGGGCUCUAAGGUCUCCCUGGAGCCUUCUCUUCUCCAGGCUGAGAACCCAACCUCACCUGACUGGCUGAGCGCAGACCUUCCCAACACACAUCGUGGUUAGUUUGCCUGGUCUGUAGCAUUCCACAGGUCAAACCAUACUUGGCCUGGCUCAAGCCUCCUCUGCAGAGACACGCCAGGGCUGCUAGUCCUGACCGAGGAAGAUACACUACUGCUAAGCUAUGGCAUAAGCAAGUUGCUUUUUCAUUGCCCACGAUACAUCUCUUUGCCCAGACUCCCUGAGCAGACAGGCUGCCUUUCAGGACUAAUACAUCUGUCACUGGGGUUUAGAGCAGGCUUCAGCAAGCAAUACCUACCAAGACAGUAUUAGCUUUGAAAUACGCAAUAGAAAUUCAGACAUAUUACCUGAUGCGAUAAAGUAUCUUCAUGAUUUGCAGGGGCUUUUACCAUUGCUCUUGUUAGACUCCAGUAUGCAUGAAAAAAAUACAAUAAAAUAUUAGAUUGCAGAAUUUAAAGCAAGUUGGGCUUUUUACGUGAAACCCACAUAUUUUUUCAGUCUGAGGUGUCAAUGUCAAAGGCUUGCAAAGCUACUGGAGAUGAGACCUCUUAACAAGAGCAAUAUGUAUGCAGGUGAGAGGGAGAAAGGACUUGAAGCCCUUAACUUGCUGGUGUGGCGAUCGCUGGAGCUCUGUGCCAGGAGACUGGCUGGGUUUCAGGGGAGACCAAAGAGGGUGCAGUUCAGCCCAGCUGAGUCUAAAGAAUAAAACCCCAGAUUAAGACUCUGAGAAUCAGCUCUGUUGCAGUCAGAAAAGGUACAAGCCACAGAAGCGCCAAACUGCUCAUUUUUAACUAUGAAUUCAGACAAACUGUAGUAGUUUCCUUCAAGCUGAAGUUAGAGGCUUUUAAAGGAAGAAAAAAAAAAAUCUUUAAAGUUAGGAAACGCCAUUUUCUUCACAAAGGCCCACUUCAGCUCUAAGAGAACAUCCAAAAUGGAAAAUCCUUAGAUAAAUUCAGGGAAGAACGGGGCAUUUGACUUACCACCCUUCUGUACCAGUUUCAGGACUUGUCAGU